CGCACCUUGCGCUCCUUGGCAUUCCUCGGAGCAUGCCUGUUUGAGUAUCAUGAAAUAUUCAAAGCAAAAUCUUUUGUUAACUCAAUUGGUUCUGCUUUGGUCUUGGAGGGUCUUGCAGCUUCACACCUGCUCCUCUUUGUGCAUUAGCUGGAUCUCAGUGUUAUGCUUGGUUCCACUCGGCGUGAUAAGUUAUCUAUCGCUGAGGACACAUUUUUAUUUUCUUAAAAAAAAUUAAAAGGUGGCCAAGGUAAAUGCAGAUGAACUGCUUCAAAUAGUCCAUUGACUUGGACACUACUUUUAUGAUCUGAUCUCAAAUCAGGUAGGACUACCCGCUGAACUUAA
rnacentral:misc_RNA from 1 species